AACGAACGCUGGCGGCAGGCUUAACACCUGCAAGUCGAACGCCCCGCAAGGGGAGUGGCGCACGGGUGAGUAACGCGUGGGAAUAUGCCCUUCGGUUCGGAAUAACACAGGGAAACUUGUGCUAAUACCGGAUACGAUCUACGGAUGAAAGAUGUAUCGCCGAGGGAGUAGCCCGCGUAGGAUUAGCUAGUUGGUGAGGUAAUGGCUCACCAAGGCGACGAUCCUUAGCUGGUCUGAGAGGAUGAUCAGCCACACUUGGACUGAGACACGGCUCAGACUCCUACGGGAGGCAGCAGUGAGGAAUAUUGGACAAUGGGGGAAACCCUGCUCCAGCCAUGCCGCGUGAGUGAUGAAGGCCUUAGGGUUGUAAAGCUCUUUCGCCAGGGAAGAUAAUGACGGUACCUGGAAAAGAAGCCUCGGCUAACUCCGUGCCAGCCGCCGCGGUAAAAC
rnacentral:rRNA from 1 species